rnacentral:rRNA from 1 species
UGGGGAGUACGUUCGCAAGGCUUGAAACUCAAAGGAAUUGACGGGGGCCCGCACAAGCGUUGGAGUAUGUGGUUAAAUUCGAUGCAACGCGAAGAACCUUACCUGGACUUGACGUCCUGAGAAUCCUCUAGAAAUGGAGGAGUGCCCUUCGGGGAAUUCAGUGACAGGUGCUGCAUGGCUGUUCGUCAGCUCGUGCCGUGAGGUGUUGGGUUAAGUCCCGCAACGAGCGCAACCCCUAUUGCUAGUUGCCAUCACAUAAUGGUGGGCACUCUAGUGAGACUGCCCGGGUCAACCGGGAGGAAGGUGGGGACGACGUCAAGUCAUCAUGGCCCUUACGUCCAGGGCUACACACGUACUACAAUGGUGGAUACAGAGGGUCGCGAAGCCGCGAGGUCGAGCCAAUCCCAGAAAAUCCAUCCCAGUCCGGAUCGCAGUCUGCAACUCGACUGUGUGAAGUUGGAAUCGCUAGUAAUCCCAGAUCAGCAUGCUGGGGUGAAUACGUUCCCGGGCCUUGUACACACCGCCCGUCACACCACGAAAGCUGGUUCUACCCAAAAUCGACGGACUAACCUUCG